AUNNGUCGGAAGNUGACCAGCCAUGCCGCGUGCAGGAUGACGGCCCUAUGGGUUGUAAACUGCUUUUGUACGGGAAGAAACACCGGUUCGUGAACCGGCUUGACGGUACCGUAAGAAUAAGGAUCGGCUAACUCCGUGCCAGCAGCCGCGGUAAUACGGAGGAUCCAAGCGUUAUCCGGAAUCAUUGGGUUUAAAGGGUCCGUAGGCGGUCUUAUAAGUCAGUGGUGAAAUCUGGUCGCUCAACGAUCAAACUGCCAUUGAUACUGUAGGACUUGAAUUACUGUGAAGUAACUAGAAUAUGUAGUGUAGCGGUGAAAUGCUUAGAGAUUACAUGGAAUACCAAUUGCGAAGGCAGGUUACUAACAGUGGAUUGACGCUGAUGGACGAAAGCGUGGGGAGCGAACAGGAUUAGAUACCCUGGUAGUCCACGCUGUAAACGAUGGAUACUAGUUGUUUGGAGCAAUCUGAGUGACUAAGCGAAAGUGAUAAGUAUCCCACCUGGGGAGUACGAACGCAAGUUUGAAACUCAAAGGAAUUGACGGGGGCCCGCACAAGCGGUGGAGCAUGUGGUUUAAUUCGAUGAUACGCGAGGAACCUUACCAAGGCUUAAAUGGGAAACGACGUAUUUGGAAACAGAUAUUUCUUCGGACGUUUUUCAAGGUGCUGCAUGGUUGUCGUCAGCUCGUGCCGUGAGGUGUCAGGUUAAGUCCUAUAACGAGCGCAACCCCUGUUGUUAGUUGCCAGCGAGUCAAGUCGGGAACUCUAGCAAGACUGCCAGUGUAAACUGUGAGGAAGGUGGGGAUGACGUCAAAUCAUCACGGCCCUUACGCCUUGGGCUACACACGUGCUACAAUGGCCGGUACAGAGAGCAGCCACUGCGCGAGCAGGAGCGAAUCUAUAAAACCGGUCUCAGUUCGGAUCGGAG
rnacentral:rRNA from 1 species